rnacentral:misc_RNA from 1 species
GAAAUGCGAUAAGUAGUGUGAAUUGCAGAAUUCAGUGAAUCAUCGAAUCUUUUAACGCACAUUGCGCCCUAUGGUAUUCCGUAGGGCAUGCCUGUUCGAGCGUCAUUUACACCUUCAAGCCUUGCUUGGUGUUGGGUGACUGUGGCCCCUUUGGGGCCACUCGCCUUAAAGUCAUUGGCGGCCGGUUCGUUGGCUUUGUAGCGCAGCACAAUUGCGUCCUCGAAGCCGCUGGACCAGCUCCCAGAAGCUAAUUUUAAAUGUUUGACCUCGAAUCAGGUAGGGAUACCCGCUGAACUUAAGCA